AAAAAGGGCUUCUGCCAUGCGGGGCACACACGGCCGCCCUCACAGAAUCGACAUCAAGAGAUUUUGGAAGAACAAUUUUUGUCAUACAAGAAGCAGCUGAACUGGGUGCUUUA
rnacentral:snRNA from 1 species